UACAGAGGUCUCAAGCGUUGUUCGGAAUUACUGGGCGUAAAGGGUGCGCAGGCCGCGCGGGCAGUCAAAUGUGUAAUCCAGGGGCUCAACCCCUGAACUGCGCUUGAUACUUCCGCGCUCGAGCUUCGGAGAGGAGUCUGGAAUUCUCGGUGUAGCAGUGAAAUGCGUGGAUAUCGAGAAGAACACUUAGGGCGUAGGCAAGACUCUGGACAAAUGCUGACGCUCAUGCACGAAGGCUAGGGUAGCGAACGGG
rnacentral:rRNA from 1 species